rnacentral:rRNA from 1 species
UACAGAGACUGCGAGCGUUAUUCGGAUUCACUGGGCGUAAAGCGUGUGUAGGUGGUUGUCAUAGUCAGGUGUGAAAGCCUUGAGCUCAACUCAAGAAAUGCACUUGAUACUGGGCAGCUAGAGGACCGGAGAGGAUAGUGGAAUUCCCAGUGUAGUGGUGAAAUACGUAGAGAUUGGGAAGAACACCAGUGGCGAAGGCGGCUAUCUGGACGGUUUCUGACACUAAGACACGAAAGCGUGGGGAGCAAACAGG